rnacentral:misc_RNA from 1 species
CUAAUUUAAUCUUUGAGUGGGAAUGUAUGAAAAAAUAUUUGAGAGAAAGGGGUGAUAUGGUGCUUGUUAUCCUGCAUGCUAAAGUUGCUCAAAAAUCAUAUGGCAGUGAAAAAAGGUUUUUUUGCCGUCCCCCAUCUGUCUAUCUACUUGGAGAUGGUUGGAG